ensembl:lncRNA
AGUCUCUAAGAGUGAUUACAGCUGUGAGUCUUUCUGGGUAAGUCUCUAAGAGUGAUUACAGCUGUGAGUCUUUCUGGGUAAGUCUCUAAGAGCUUUGCACACCUGGAUUGUACAAUAUUUGCCCAUUAUUCUUUAAACAAUUCUUCAAGCUCUGUCAAGUUGAUUGUUGAUCAUUAUUAGAUAACCAUAUUCAAGUCUUUCCAUAGAUCUUCAAGCCGAUUUAAGUCAAAACUGUAACUAGACCACUCAGGAAUAUUCAAUAUCUUCUUGGUAAGUAACUAAAGUGUAGAUUUGGCCUUGUUUUAGGUUAUUGUCCUUCUGAAAGGCGAAUUCAUCUCCUCAUUGUCUAUUGGAACACAGACUGAACCAGACUUUCCUCUAGGAUUUUGGCUGUGCUUAUAGCUGUCUACCGUUUAUUUUUAUCCUAAUAACUCCCUAGUCCUUGCCAAUGACAAGCAUACCCAUAACAUGAUGCAGCCACCGCCAUGCUUGAAAAUAUGAAGUGGUACUGAGUGAUGUGUUGUGUUGGAUUUGCCCCAAACAAAACGCUUUAUUCAGGACAAAAAGUUAAUUUCUUUGCCGAAAUGUUUUCAGUAUUACUUAAGUGCCUUGUUGCAAACAGGAUGCAUGUUUUGGAGUAUUUUUAUUCUGUACAGGCUUUUUUAAAUCUGUCAUUUAGGUUAGUAUUAUGGAGUAACUAUGGAGUAACUACAAUGUUUAUCCAUCCUCAGUUGUUUUCUCCUAUCACAGUCAUUACACUCUGUAACUGUUUUAAGGUCACCAUUGGCUUCAUGGUGAAAAUCCUGAGCGGUUUCCUUCCUCUCCGGCAACUGAGUUAGGAAGGACGUCUGUAUCUUUGUAGCGACUGGGUGUAUUGAUACACCAUCCAAAGCCUAAUUAUAACUUCACCUUGCUCAAAGGGAUAUUACACAUUUUACCCAUCUACCAACCGGUGCCCUUCUUUGCGAGGCAUUGAAAAAUCUCCUUGGUCUUUGUGGUUGAAUAUGUGUUUGAAAUUCACUGCUCGAUUGAGGGACCUUACAAUUAUCUGUAUGUGUUGGGGUACAGAGAUGAGGUAGUCAUUUAAAAAUCAUGUUAACCAAUAUUAUUGAACACGGAAUGAGUCCAUGCAACUUAUUAUGAGAUUUGUUAAGCACACUUUUACUCCUGAACUUAUUUAGGCUUACCAUAAAGGGGUUGAAUACUUAUUGACUCAAGACAUUUCAGCUUAAAAUGUUUUAUUAAUAAAUAAAAAAUUAGACUAACAAAAUUCCACUUUGACAUUAUGGGGUAUUGCGUGUAGAUCAGGUAUUGUGUAUUACAUUGUAAUUCAGACUGUAAACCAUUUAAAAUUCAGACUGUAAACCAUUUUAAAAUCAGACUGUAAACCAUUUUAAAAUCAGACUGUACACCAUUUUAAAAUCAGACUGUACACCAUUUUAAAAUCAGACUGUAAACCAUUUUAAAUUCAGACUGUAAACCAUUUUAAAAUCAGACUGUAAACCAUUUUAAAUUCAGUCUGUAAACCAUUUUAAAUUCAGGCUGUAACAACACAAUGUGGGAGAAGUUAAAAAGGUGUGAAUCCUUUCUGAAGGCCACUGUACAUACAACCGUUGCUAUGGGACCAAGAACAUUGCUACAGUACUGUGUUGUUUAUAGCACACUUAUUUAUACUGUAUCACACUGUAGAUAUAUGCCACUCAGAAAGCAUGCAGGACAUUAUUAAGGUCAUUACGGUAAGAUUAUAAAUUAACCAUAUGAAAUAAAGAUGAGAGGAAUAUUAAAACAGGGAUUUUACCACUGAGGAAGUCACGUGGUCUGUAUGACUAAUUUGGACUAGAUAUAUACCUUAUUCAUCACUGACUCCAUCCAAUCUACGUCCCACAUAAAGUAUUCUAUUGUGGACCCUUCAAUUUCUACCCUACUCAGUGAUAUUCUGAUAUAACAAUGUAAUAUUUAAGUCCGGAACAGACUAUCCUAAGGCUUUGUGAACUUUUGAGCGCUGUGCUUUAAUAUGCAAAAAACAGGUUACUAUACAAUACAUUGUCCUGACUGACACUGCUGUAUCCAUCACUGAUAUCCAUUCACAUCUUAAUAACUGCCAAAUACAUUACACUACAUUUUGUUUGGUCUGGAAAUGACUUUUGUAAAACUGUGUUGUCUGUCACCUUAAAAAAAAAAAAGACUUGAAAAGUGAUUAAAGAUCCAGGGUGAAUGUCGGAUGUGUUGUUGUGGUUAUAGUGAGCUGUUUGUCAAAUGGCAUCCUACUCGUCAUACUGUCUAGUGCACUACUUUUGACCAGGGCCCAUGAGCUCAGGGUCCAUAGGGUUAGGGCCCAUAGAGGUCAGGGCCCAUAGAGGUCAGGGCCCAUAGGGUUAGGGCCCAUAGAAGUCAGGGCCCAUAGAGGUCAGGGCCCAUAGAGGUCAGGGCCCAUAGAGGUUAGGGCCCAUAGAGGGCAGGGCCCAUAGGGUUAGGGCCCAUAGAGGUCAGGGCCCAUAGGGUUAGGGCCCAUAGAGGUCAGGGCCCAUAGAGGUCAGGGCCCAUAGGGUUAGGGCCCAUAGGGUUAGGGCCCAUAGAGGUCAGGGCCCAUAGGGUUAGGGCCCAUAGGGUUAGGGCCCAUAGAGGUCAGGGCCCAUAGAGGUCAGGGCCCAUAGGGUUAGGGCCCAUAGAGGUCAGGGCCCAUAGGGUUAGGGCCCAUAGAGGUCAGGGCCCAUAGGGUUAGGGCCCAUAGAGCUCAGGGCCCAUAGGGUUAGGGCCCAUAGAGGUCAGGGCCCAUAGAGGUCAGGGCCCAUAGGGUUAGGGCCCAUAGAGCUCAGGGCCCAUAGGGUUAGGGCCCAUAGGGUUCAGGUCAAAAGUAGUGCACUACAUGGGGAAUAAGUAGGGUGCCACCUGGGGGACACAAUUCAUGUUGAAGUAGAUGGUUUCCUUCAGAGCUCUGGUCCUGUAUCUCUCCUUAGCCCGAAAAGCAACUCUGUUUUCUAUUGAAGUUUGUAAAAUAAGCGCUUUGAAAUAAAAUAACAAAUGAUAUCUCAUACUCUAGCCUGCUCUGGAAAUGUUUAAAAAUGCAAUUAUCGAUGAAUGAAAGCUUGCAUUACAUUACCCCAUUGAUUAAAGAUUAUAUUACUGAGAAUAGAUUUUUUCAUGUCAAUUGACUUCUUAACUUCGCAUGUUUCCCAAAUGGCACCCUAUUCUCUACAUAGGGCACUACUUUUGACUAGAGCACUAUGGCCCCUGGUUAAAAGUAGUGCACUUUGGGAAUAGGGUGCCAUUUGGGUUGCUGCCCAUUAAAUAAGCCUUGUGUUUUGAUUGUGUAACUGAAGGUCAGGGCUGUAGUUGAUCCCUGGACUAGUGGGUCUCAUCUUUACAAGCAUUUUGCUACACUCGCAAUAAUCAUUUGCCAACCAUUUAUAUGUGACCAAUAAAAUUUGAUUUGAAA